rnacentral:rRNA from 1 species
UACGAGUGCCCCGAGCGUUAUCCGGAAUUAUUGGGCGUAAAGAGCUCGUAGGCGGUUUGUCGCGUCUGCUGUGAAAACCUAAGGCUCAACCUUGGGCUUGCAGUGGGUACGGGCAGACUAGAGUGCGGUAGGGGUGACUGGAAUUCCUGGUGUAGCGGUGGAAUGCGCAGAUAUCAGGAGGAACACCGAUGGCGAAGGCAGGUCACUGGGCCGCAACUGACGCUGAGGAGCGAAAGCAUGGGGAGCGAACAGG